GGAAGGAGUCAUCACAUCAUAUACUAACUCAUCUAAAUCUGGAUGCCUAAAUUAGGUUCCUCCACCAAGUGGAAUCAGAACAAGUCAUCUCUGUCACUGUUAGGAAAGCCAAGAGAGAUUAGGCUCUAAUUUAUUUAGCAAAAUAUUUGAUUGUAUUUUAUUAUGUGUUGAAUAUCUUAUAAAGAUGCUCUGAUUAUCUUGCCUUCUUCCCAGCCUCUCAGCCUCUUAAACUCCUAACUUACGGAUCCUGCUGAACUUUCAGAAAUACACCAGAAGCAUUUCUCCUGAGCUCUAGAGCUCAACAGGAAGCAACAAAGAAAUUUGAAGAAAGCCAAGACAAAAAAAUGUUCAGAAAAAAAUUCCAGAGAUGAAGAGGAGGAGCUGGAAAUGUGUGUCACAGCCACAACAGUAGCUGCAGCUCUCACCCCACAUGGGCUGUGAGAACUUAAUUGGAGCAAAAUUGUCCACGCACUUAAUAAAUACUUGGGUUGAAGGGCUGAAGAAGGUCAUGUUUUAAAGACCUAACUGCAGACAAUUGAUUGAGAUGGGGCUGAUGAGGUUUUCUAGGGGGCAAAAGUGUGACUCCAGCAGAGCCAUAGAGGCAGGAGCUGUCAUGGGAAGGGCCACCAAGCCCUUGGUCCUCACAAGUAGAUGCCCAGCAUCCCCUGUGGGGCUGUAAGGGCUCCACUGCUGCAACAGCCUUCCUGCCAUUGGCUUCAGCAGCCUAAAUGUUGCAGGAAGCUUUAAUCUGAGCCUAGCUAGAUGAAAGCAGUUACAAGUGUAACUAGCAAUGCCGUAAUGGCAGCUUUGAUUACAGUGUAGGUAUCUUCAAAAAUAGAUGAUCUUCGGAAUCAAGGUCAGGAUGUGAUUAUGAGAAUUACAGGCUUUCCUAAAAGUGCUGAGGAAAACAAAAAACGCAAACUGAGAAACGUAUUGAUUCUUCCAUUUUAACCCUGAUGACCAGCUACAUCAAACUGAUCUGCCGGGAGCCAUCACUGACAAAUCCACAAUAAAAGGAACACGGCGUGGAUCGGCAGCAGACAUCAGAAACUUUCCCAGAGGAGAGGUUGCUGUUCCCCAACACCAUGCUCCCGGGCAGCAGCCACAUACCAGAGAGGCAAAUCACACUCCAGUGGUGCUUGGUGGUCAGAAAGACUGUGACUGCUGUUCCUGUAGUGGAUGGUGUUACUUGCUCUUGAGGAGGUGAGGCAGGAAAGCACUGCCAAGGACCCAUGACUCGGUUUUCCUGGUCACCUUUCAUCCCAUAGUAAGGUAAUGAGUUCACUGAGCAGCUUUUAUCUUUCUCCCUCUCCUUCCCUGCUCUCUUUUUGAUGGUGCAUUUACUGGCACUCUGAUUUUCCAUCACACAAAGGUUUCAACAGGUGGUUUGCACAGCUCACCUCUGCUACAGAUGAGACAUUAAAAAAACCACCAAAAUGCAGCUCUGCAGCUGCAUCUCUGCCUUGACCUACUGCCAGACUUAAACACAAUGGUUUCAAACUCUGCAAGCCUCUGGCAUCUUUCUUACCCUGAUUAUAUUUUAUGCUUGGAAAAAAGCAUGAAGCACAAGCAGCCCCAUGAAGAUGGGAGGAUAAGACCUUAAAAAUUAUGCUGCAGGCAACAAGGAUUUGAUGAGAGGAGUAAUGUGGCCAAAAGGACAAAGGAGAUUUUGAUACUCUGAAUGGGCAGGGGUUGGAAGAGAAGAGAAAGCAGGAGAUGGAGAUAAACAAAGGCAGGGACAUGCUUCAGGGAAAGUGUAGUAAAGGAAAAGCAUCUAAAUGCCAAAAGUGAUCCUCACUUUUUAUCCUCUUUUUGUGUUUCAUACAGUCACAUCAGCACAAUAGGUAUUCAUCUGGAGCACAGGAUCCAUUGAUAACUUUUUCAUCUCUUCAGGAGUCUGUUAAAAUAGUGCAUGGCUUUGCCUCCUGAGAUAGUGAACUCCUGUCUUGAAUGGAAAAAAGAUGGUGUACUGACCCAAAAAUUAAAGCAACUAAGGGAGCUUUAAAGUUAAAAAAUGUAAUAAACUUAAAAAUAAUCAGCAACAAUUUCCAGUUUAAAAGGUAUUACAAAUCCUUCUUGGCCUUCAGUGAAGAACAGGAGUUUUAUAAAAACAGAUAAACAUCUCUGGAAUGUGGAAAAAACAGAUUUUUAGUACAAAAGUCCAAAAGAAAUGAGAAGGCAUCCUGUUGUGUGCCUUACAGAGGUACUGCCACAUCCAAAUGAAUUGCUGUUGACAGACAGCAAAAAGGAUGAGUCAGGUGUGUAUUCUUCGCUCAGGUGAUGGCUGUCAUACCAUAAUGUUUUACAUUAUUCUUCACUGUUUAUUGCUAAAGGGAAUUGUCCCAGUUUUAAUACCAGCACUUUGCCUGAAUAAAUCCCACAUGCCUGUUUUUUGGGAAAAGUAAUAUUGAUUCAUGUAGAGCAGGUGCCUAAGAGCAAAGCAGAAUAUCGGGGAAAAAAGAUAAAAAUAAUGAAUCUUUAGUGUUCCUUUGCAGGAAAGGCUCUAGUUAUGAUGCAAAUGAUACAAAAUUAAUGUAUUCAUGAAUUAAAAAUGAGAGGUGGCGCAAACAUAAACUCGUUGUUGUUGAAAUGGAAUUGCACUGCUGUGUUCCUCAUGAAUUGCCACGUUAUGCUGAGACUCCUCAGAGCAAAGCUGCUCCCCCUCGGAGGGGUGAAAGGCUUCUGCAUGAUUGAAUCCAGAAACAGCGGGACAUCCUCCUGCAAGGAAGGUUUGUGGUGGUGUGUGGGGUGGGUUUGUUGGAGGGAGGCACAGCCAGCAGGUGCUGUACACAGCCCCAGUGUCUCAUGCAGCCUCCACCUGUCCCUUCCUCCUCCCUACCCUCCAUACUCUUCAUCCACUUGGAAAGGGUGUGUGACACAUGGAAGAGAGGGAGGUACAAGUCAUUGUCAGGCUGCACUGGGGUAGUUUUCCAAAUAUACUGUAACAGGAAGUAUGUCCUAAACCUAGGACAUUUUAUUAUGGUAGGAAGGUAAUUGUUGGAAGGUGAUUUUAUUGUAACCUAGCUUUUCUUUUUCUCCUCAUCCAUGUUAUGUCUCCUUCCUCCCAAAUUUUCCACUUUGCUGUGUGAUGAUGAUAAAUUUGCAGAAUUCUGGGUGUGCAAUGUAACUUACAAUCUGAUGCUAGUUAUCUGUAAGGUGUGCCAAAACAGGCUCAGCACAGAUCUUCAUAAAAAUAAUAAAAGGUGAAUCCGUUUCUCAUCUCUGCAUUUUUCUCAGCACACACAGCUACAAUGCCCACUGGCUGGGGUUUCAGAUAAUGUUGACCAACACAUUUCUUACUUUUAACCCACAGAGUAAAUACUUUCAAAGCAAACUAAAGUUAUGUUUUUAACUACGGAAAUAUUUCUUGACUGUCCU